UGCACGCCCCACUCUGGGGAUGGAGCCCGAAACCCAGGCAUGUGCCCUUUUCCGGAAUGGAACCUGGGACCCUUCAGUCCGCAGGCUGAGGCUCUAUCCACUGAGCCAAACCGGCUAGGGCUUAAUCUCCCUUCUUAACAAAGAGCAAGCAAGCUUCAGGCUCAGGACUUUCAACAGGCAACAGUUUCCAUUAGGCCCUCUAGAGGGCAGUGCCACUUACAUGAAGAACCACUGCUUUAAAGACAACUCAACAUUUCUGGUCAUAAUUGCUCCAUCCCUUAAGUGAAGUCAUGCCAUCUCUGACAUGGUAUAACUAUACCCAACCAGGUCAUCAUUUGAACCUGAGUAGAAUGCUGACCACAUGAUUCUGAACUGGCCGAAGUCCAAAGCAAAAGAUGUCUUUUAAUUGUAAAACAUUCCUCUAAAUACAGUAUAAGUUUCCAAUAACCUGAAUGAUCACAAAAUGGAAUGUUGGGUUUCAUAAAUUAUUAAGCUUUUACUGCCUCGAAACUUAUUAAAAUUUUUCUAAAAUGUAUUAAACCAAACCUGAAAAAUGCAUAAAUAAAAUUUAUUCGACCAUAUUUAAGGAUAGAAUGUAUGUAAAAAGUAGUUCUCAAGCUUGAAGAAUAUACUGACUCUUUAAAAGGGAAAAAAAAACAACAAAAACACCCUGAUCUUUAAGGAUAUGGAACUCCACUUUGAGAAAUAAUAACUUUAAAAACCUAACUUUUAAGAAAAUGUCUUUCAGUUGCAAAUUACCCCUGUGAAGAAAAGCUUUAUCUUUAUAGUCAGUACUAGGACUUAUUUUUAGAUAUUAGUGGAAAUGAAAAUGCAAAAUUAAAAAUUUCUUGUAGGGUUUGCAAAUCUCAGAGAAUACAUCUGUGGAUCUCAGUUUAAGAAAGUGAGUGCUUAUAAUAUACAGGCUAAUUAGAGCUUGCCUUGAUUUAAUUUUUUAAUUUCCAAUCUAUCACAGACUGAUGCUUUUAUAAAAUAUUUUGAUCACGUAUUUGGAUCUUAUAACAAUGUCAAAUUAUAAACUUUUCUAAACCCUUAUCACAGAUCAGCAUUGGUACAUAGGCCACACUUUGAGUAGCUUUAGACUAGCUCCCAGGGAACAGAACAUAUUACAUGUCACCUCUGUAAGCCUGUGUAUGGAGCAGUCAACCGUAUAGUACAACGAGGUCAGGAGGAGGAACACCAGAGAGAAUUGCAUGAGGGCACCAGGCAUUGGGAAGAGUUUCAUAGAAAAGGCGGAGCUUGAAGAAGGUGAAGGAGAGGGGCACUAGAGAAUUCCCAGCGUAUGGAGAAAGCUAGAACAUGACAAAGAGAUCCUAAGGGUAUUGACCUACUGGUUAGAGCAGGUGGCUUAUACUGAGGAGUAGAGAGAAAACCAAGCACAGUUUUCUUGUGUUCAUUUCUGUUACAAUCUUUUUCCCCACUUUUCAAGAAAGAUUUCCAUUAAGCUAAGUAGGCUCCCCCUCUAACCCCCCAAUUAAGACAACUUUUGAAUGCCCUUGCCCGGUAGCUCAGAUGGUUAGAGUGUUGUCCCAAUACGCCAAGGUUCCUGGUUUGAUCCUCAGGGCACGUACAAGAAUUAACCAAUAAGUGAAACAACAAAUCAAUGUUUCCCUAUCUCUCCCUUCUCUCUAAAAUCAGUAAAUUUUUUAAAAGCUUUUGAAAACCAAGAAAAAAUUAGUAUUUUGAUCACUAUUCUGUUUACUAUUUGUAGCUUAGCACCACCCACUUGUAUUGCACUGUUAUCUUUAAUGAUCAGUUAUGUUAAAAUAUCACCAAAUAAUUUCACUUGUUACUUUAUUUAAUAAAUGUUUAUUGAGAGCUUA